GUCACAGGGGUCAUCCAUCUUUCCUUCUAUGUGACUGGUUUGCUCUUGCAUAUCAUGUUUUCCGCUCUUAUGCUCCAGAUCCAUCAUGAGAAGAACAUGCCCUGGAUUCCUGCUAUCCCUUUAGCCAUGGCUCCAAAAUUAACACACACAAGGAAGACCUGAGGUCAAUCCACAGCCUGGAUUCAAGUCACCUAAUACAUAGGAGAAUCAGAGCUACCCAGCCACACUCAAUCUACGUUAACUGAACCUCAGCUGACCUGCAGAUUUAUGAGUAUGAGAAUAAAG
rnacentral:lncRNA from 1 species